GGAUUACUCCUUUACGCUUUCGCGUUUGGUUGAUAAAGAUUCGCACCUCUAUCAAACCGGGUAAUCCCACCUCUUGGCAAGACCUGCUGUCAGAUCAAAUCUGAACUACUACAGAUAAUCUGAUGACCAAACUGGGUCUCUGAAAAAUGGUCUGACGGUAGAAACUGCCAGCCAGCAUAUAUAAAUAACGUUAUAGCAAAAACUUUUAUUUAUCGUAAAACGUAA
rnacentral:sRNA from 1 species